rnacentral:rRNA from 1 species
GCUGAAGCCUGGUGCUUGCACCGGGUGGAUGAGUGGCGAACGGGUGAGUAACACGUGAGUAACCUGCCCCUGACUUCGGGAUAAGCCCGGGAAACUGGGUCUAAUACCGGAUACGACUGCCGGACGCAUGUCUGGUGGUGGAAAGUUUUUUCGGUUGGGGAUGGGCUCGCGGCCUAUCAGUUUGUUGGUGAGGUAAUGGCUCACCAAGACGACGACGGGUAGCCGGCCUGAGAGGGCGACCGGCCACACUGGGACUGAGACACGGCCCAGACUCCUACGGGAGGCAGCAGUGGGGAAUAUUGCACAAUGGGGGAAACCCUGAUGCAGCGACGCAGCGUGCGGGAUGACGGCCUUCGGGUUGUAAACCGCUUUCAGCAGGGAAGAAGCGCAAGUGACGGUACCUGCAGAAGAAGUACCGGCUAACUACGUGCCAGCAGCCGCGGUAAUACGUAGGGUACGAGCGUUGUCCGGAAUUAUUGGGCGUAAAGAGCUCGUAGGUGGUUGGUCACGUCUGCUGUGGAAACGCAACGCUUAACGUUGCGCGUGCAGUGGGUACGGGCUGACUAGAGUGCAGUAGGGGAGUCUGGAAUUCCUGGUGUAGCGGUGAAAUGCGCAGAUAUCAGGAGGAACACCGGUGGCGAAGGCGGGACUCUGGGCUGUAACUGACACUGAGGAGCGAAAGCAUGGGGAGCGAACAGGAUUAGAUACCCUGGUAGUCCAUGCCGUAAACGUUGGGCACUAGGUGGUGGGGGGGCAUUCCACGUUCUCCGCGCCGUAGCUAACGCAUUAAGUGCCCCGCCUGGGGGAGUACGGUCGCAAGGCUAAAACUCAAAGGAAUUGACGGGGGCCCGCACAAGCGGCGGAGCAUGCGGAUUAAUUCGAUGCAACGCGAAGAACCUUACCAAGGCUUGACAUACACCGGGACCGUCCUGGAAACAGGUCCUCUUCUUUGAAGCUGGUGUACAGGUGGUUGCAUGGGUUGUCGUCAGCUCGUGUCCUGAAAAUGUUGGGGUUAAGUCCCGCAACGAGCGCAACCCUCGUUCUAUGUUG